AACGCUAGCUACAGGCUUAACACAUGCAAGUCGAGGGGAAACGACAUCGAAAGCUUGCUUUUGAUGGGCGUCGACCGGCGCACGGGUGAGUAACGCGUAUCCAACCUGCCCAUCACUUGGGGAUAACCUUGCGAAAGUAAGACUAAUACCCAAUGAUAUCUCUAGAAGACAUCUGAAAGAGAUUAAAGAUUUAUCGGUGAUGGAUGGGGAUGCGUCUGAUUAGCUUGUUGGCGGGGUAACGGCCCACCAAGGCGACGAUCAGUAGGGGUUCUGAGAGGAAGGUCCCCCACAUUGGAACUGAGACACGGUCCAAACUCCUACGGGAGGCAGCAGUGAGGAAUAUUGGUCAAUGGACGAGAGUCUGAAUCAGCCAAGUAGCGUGCAGGAUGACGGCCCUAUGGGUUGUAAACUGCUUUUAUAAGGGAAUAAAGUGAGUCUCGUGAGACUUUUUGCAUGUACCUUAUGAAUAAGGACCGGCUAAUUCCGUGCCAGCAGCCGCGGUAAUACGGAAGGUCCGGGCGUUAUCCGGAUUUAUUGGGUUUAAAGGGAGCGUAGGCCGGAGAUUAAGCGUGUUGUGAAAUGUAGACGCUCAACGUCUGCACUGCAGCGCGAACUGGUUUCCUUGAGUACGCACAAAGUGGGCGGAAUUCGUGGUGUAGCGGUGAAAUGCUUAGAUAUCACGAAGAACUCCGAUUG
rnacentral:rRNA from 1 species